AGAGUUUGAUCAUGGCUCAGAACGUACGCUGGCGGCACGCCUAACACAUGCAAGUCGAACGAAGUAGCAAUACUUAGUGGCAGACGGGUGAGUAACAUGUAGGUAUCUGCCCUUUGGCCUGGAAUAACACGAGGAAACUUGUGCUAAUACCGGAUAAGUCUUUACGGAGAAAGCUUUAUGCACCAUUGGAUGAGCCUGCACUUGAUUAGUUUGUUGGUGGGGUAAUGGCCUACCAAGACUGUGAUCAAUAGCUGAUUUGAGAGGAUGAUCAGCCACAUUGGGACUGAGACACGGCCCAAACUCCUACGGGAGGCAGCAGUGGGGAAUCUUGCACAAUGGAGGAAACUCUGAUGCAGCGAUGCCGCGUGAGUGAAGAAGGCCCUUGGGUUGUAAAGCUCUUUCGUCGGGGAAGAAAAUGACUGUACCCGAAUAAGAAGGUCCGGCUAACUUCGUGCCAGCAGCCGCGGUAAUACGAAGGGACCUAGCGUAGUUCGGAAUUACUGGGCUUAAAGAGUUCGUAGGUGGUUGAAAAAGUUAGUGGUGAAAUCCCAGAGCUUAACUCUGGAACUGCCAUUAAAACUUUUCAGCUAGAGUAUGAUAGAGGAAAGCAGAAUUUCUAGUGUAGAGGUGAAAUUCGUAGAUAUUAGAAAGAAUACCAAUUGCGAAGGCAGCUUUCUGGAUCAUUACUGACACUGAGGAACGAAAGCAUGGGUAGCGAAGAGGAUUAGAUACCCUCGUAGUCCAUGCCGUAAACGAUGUGUGUUAGACGUUGGAAAUUUAUUUUCAGUGUCGCAGGGAAACCGAUAAACACACCGCCUGGGGAGUACGACCGCAAGGUUAAAACUCAAAUGAAUUGACGGGGACCCGCACAAGUAGUGGAGCAUGUGGUUUAAUUCGAAGAUACGCGCAGAACCUUACCAACACUUGACAUGUUCGUCGCGACUCUAAGAGAUUAGAGUUUUCGGUUCGGCCGGACGAAACACAGGUGCUGCAUGGCUGUCGUCAGCUCGUGUCGUGAGAUGUUGGGUUAAGUCCCGCAACGAGCGCAACCCUCACUUUUAGUUGCCAUCAUUAAGUUGGGCACUCUGAAAGAACUGCCAGUGAUAAGCUGGAGGAAGGUGGGGAUGACGUCAAGUCCUCAUGGCCCUUACGUGUUGGGCUACACACGUGCUACAAUGGUAUCUACAACAGGAAGCAAGACUGCGAAGUUAAGCAAAUCCCUAAAAGAUACCUCAGUUCGGAUUGCACUCUGCAACUCGAGUGCAUGAAGCUGGAAUUACUAGUAAUCGUGGAUCAGCGUGCCACGGUGAAUGCGUUCCCGGGUCUUGUACACACCGCCCGUCACACCAUGGGAGUUGGUUCUACCUUAAGGCAAGGUUUAAAACCCUUGACCACGGUAUAGUCAGCGACUGGGGUGAAGUCGUAACAAGGUA
rnacentral:rRNA from 1 species